GACAGACCUUUCCUUCCAGCCAGGACAAGAGCAGGGCCCAACAGGAAAAUCAGAGAAAGAAAGAAAGAAAGAGGGCAGAGGAAUGAGAUUAAAAGAGCAGCAACUAGGGACAUGGCUGCUAGAGGAAGUGUGAAGAACACAGGGAAGCAAACUGGAGCUCCACCGUCAGCGGAGGCUGAGAGCUUGGCAGAGCAGGAUGGCACUAAGAGACACCGCCCCCCAAGGAGAGCACAGCUCUGCAGGGCAGAGUUCUCUGUUCCAGCUCAACUUCCCAGCCCCGUCCCAUGGGAAGUGGAAUGGAAUCUGCCUCGGCAAGCUUUGCCAGCCACUCCCACCCGAGUCCCAGGGCUCGGCGGCGAUUUAUGGCAGAUUCCCCUUUUGCCAAAGAUGGCUCAGCUCUGUUGAAAGAAGGGAAAAAACAAGCCGUCUCCGAAAAGAUAGGAUCUUUUCUGAACAUGCUACUUGUCAUCAGGAAACACUUAUGACUGAGAUCUGGGCAGCAGGGUAACUUGUGCAGUCCUGUGCCCAAAUCACUGAACUGGUUAUUAGUGUGGCACUGCUGUGGCUAUCAGUGUCAA